CGGAGCGUAGCGCAGUCUGGAUGAGCGCACUUGAAUGGGGUUCAAGAGGUCGUGAGUUCGAGUCUCACCGCUCCGACCA
rnacentral:tRNA from 1 species